UACGUAGGGUGCGAGCGUUAAUCGGAAUUACUGGGCGUAAAGCGUGCGCAGGCGGUUCGUUAAGUUCGUUGUGAAAGCCCCGGGCUCAACCUGGGAACUGCAAUGGAAACUGGCGGGCUUGAGUGUGGCAGAGGGGGGUGGAAUUCCGCGUGUAGCAGUGAAAUGCGUAGAGAUGCGGAGGAACACCGAUGGCGAAGGCAGCCCCCUGGGCUGACACUGACGCUCAGGCACGAAAGCGUGGGGAGCAAACAGG
rnacentral:rRNA from 1 species